rnacentral:lncRNA from 1 species
GAACAGAUGGGAUAUCAGUGGCUUUACCUUACUGAACAAACUGGAUAUCAGUGGCUUUACCUUACUGAACAGACUGGAUAUCAGUGGCGUUACCUUACUGAACAACUGGAUAUCAGUGGCUUUAUCCUACUGAACAGACUGGAUAUCAGUGGUUUACCUUACUGAACAGACUGGAUAUCAGUGGCUUUACCUUACUGAACAGAUGGAUGUCAGUGGCUUUACCUUACUGAACAGAUGGGAUAUCAAGUCUCUCUCCAGUCUCCUCACCACCAUGUCUUAGGCCUCUCCUUACCUUAACUUGGGCCAGCAGGUAGGCUAGUGGUUAGAGCCUUGGACUUGUAACCGAAAGGUUGCUAAUUCGAAUCCCCGAGCUGACAAGGUAAAAAUCUGUCGCUCUGCCCCUGAACAAGGCAGUUAACCCAUUGUUCCUAGGCCGUCAUUGAAAAUAAGAAUUUGUUCUUAACUGACUUGCCUGGUUAAAUAAAGGUAAAAUACAGAUAUAUAUUUUUAAACUUUGCUAUCCCAAGGAGCACAAAUACACAAGACAGAGGUGGCUGACCAUCAAAAUCUCAACUUCAGCCUCAAUAAAUUCCUCAAAGGCACAGACAGAUGUGUAGAUAUGAAAGCCUAUUCUAGCGUCUCAGGUUCAGAUUAUUUCUAGAAAAAUUAAUGUUGAUCAUUAUAGUUUCCUAACUGCGCAAUGCAAAGCUACUCUAGCAUAGAACAUAAUGUUGUAGGCCCCAAAUACAAUCCUUUCACUAACCAUAUGGAAACCAAUCAGAGGAGGCUGGUGGGAGGGAGCUAUAGGAGGAUGUAAUGGCUGGAAUGGAAUUAUUGGGACAGGAUCAAGCACAUGGCAAUUACAAUGAACCCGUCCUCCUAUAGAUCCUCCCACCAGCCUCCUCUGAACCCAAUCUCUAAAAACAGGUACCAGACACUGCCCUCAAAGUCAAAAUCACAUGAUCUUAUGCUGCCACAUUAAAUUACUUACUACACACUUAGAAAACAGGGUUCCCGUAGGAUAAACCCUUUUUGGAUCAGCGGAGAACCAUUUUUGG